rnacentral:sRNA from 1 species
CAAUCGAAAUGAUGGUCAAAGCUCAUGGAUGUUGCAGGCUUUUUGUCUGCACUUCUGCGGGAUUU